rnacentral:rRNA from 1 species
GACGUAGGGCGCGAGCGUUGUCCGGAUUUAUUGGGCGUAAAGAGCUCGUAGGUGGCUUGUCGCGUCUGCCGUGAAGCCCAUGGCUUAACUGUGGGUCUGCGGUGGAUACGGGCAGACUAGAGUGUGGUAGGGGAGACUGGAAUUCCUGGUGUAGCGGUGAAAUGCGCAGAUAUCAGGAGGAACACCGGUGGCGAAGGCGGGUCUCUGGGCCAUAACUGACGCUGAGGAGCGAAAGGCGUGGGGAGCGAACAGG